rfam:Camelus ferus unplaced genomic scaffold scaffold966, whole genome shotgun sequence.
GAGGGUAUAGCAUAAGUGGUAGAGCUCAUGCUUAGCAUGCAUGAAGUCCUGGGUUCAAUCCCCAGUACUUCCU